AAAAGCAGACUGUACAUGAAGGGAAGCGAACGUCCUAGGCUUUUGCAGACUCCAAUUUUCAUUGAAAGCAAAGUGAAGCGCUAGCUAGUGUGAAUCGUCUGUUGGAUCUGGCCGGGCCCGUUGGUGCAUCGUUGCGCGUCUGUGCGCGAUAUGACCGUUGGUCUGCAUACGCCGUGGACAGCUAACGCAGAGCUGGAGUGGCCAAGUGGAAUUGAACUGUUUAUUCUAAACAGAGUAUGAUGAUUGCAGCGAACAUUGUUGAUGCAGUAUGAGCUUUGCCACGUACUCUGUCAAUGUAAUGAAAUUCAGUUAAGCGCAGAUUCUCGUUGGCUAGUGCUAUGACGUUGAAUAUUUGAAAGCUGGGUUUUGAGCUACUUCCUGAAGAAGGCGUUGGGAAAGUGGUGGGACGGAGUAACAACUUCUACGACUUGCCAUGCCAAAGAAACAGCCACUUACAUGUGCCUUUAAAUUAAUGCAGCCAAAUGCUGCGUCAUCUAAUUUGUGGCAUGCGUGGUCGCGUUGAGGUUCCCACUGUCCAUAUCUACUAUCUGUGAAAGCCAUUAUCAAGGGAAUGGGCUUGGCGGCACAUGGAAGGGAAGCGAACCCUAUUGUCCUGGACUCUAGUUCGACUUUGUGGGAAUAUUUCGGUGGUGUAGCAUUGGUUGGAGCUCCCGUGAAAGUGAAAUACCACUAAUCUCAGUGUCAUUUUGCUCCGCCAAGUUGCGAUGCAUGGCCUGCAUAUGUUUUUAAGGAACCAUCUAUGUGCUUAUCAAUGCGGAAGAGGCAGAAGCGACAGUCAGGUGGAGAGUUUAUCCAGGGCGGGACAUUGUGAAACAAUAGCGCAGGCGUCCCUAAGGCACGCUAAGUGAGCACGCAGAUCUCAUGUUGUCCUGUGGGGAAAGUUUGCUUGAUUCUGAUCCUCAGUAAGCAUACGAGCUAUUUAUCCCCUAGGUUUAAUCUACUUUCAGCUCAAGGUGUCAGACAAGUUUCCACAGGGACAACUGGACUGUGGCAGCCAAACGUUCAUAGCUACGUUGCGUGUUCAUUUCUCGAUGCCGGACAGCAACUGUUGCUCUACACCCACUGCAGACGACUUUUGCGCAGCCAGUCAUUGGCAGUGAAAGUAGGUUUCUUCUACAUCACACUAAGAUUCAGCCUGCGUAUUACAA
rnacentral:ncRNA from 1 species